CCUACGGGUGGCAGCAGUGAGGAAUAUUGGUCAAUGGGCGCGAGCCUGAACCAGCCAAGUAGCGUGAAGGAUGACUGCCCUACGGGUUGUAAACUUCUUUUAUAAAGGAAUAAAGUGCGGCACGUGUGCCUUUUUGUAUGUACUUUAUGAAUAAGGAUCGGCUAACUCCGUGCCAGCAGCCGCGGUAAUACGGAGGAUCCGAGCGUUAUCCGGAUUUAUUGGGUUUAAAGGGGGCGUAGAUGGGUUUUUAAGUCAGUGGUGAAAGUUUGCGGCUCAACCUUAAAAUUGCAAUUGAUACUGGCAGGCUUGAGUACAUUUGAGGUAGGCGGAAUGCGUGGUGUAGCGGUGAAAUGCAGAGAUAUCACGAAGAACUCCGAUUGCGAAGGCAGCUUACCAAGCUGCCACUGACAUUGAUGCUCGAAAGUGUGGGUAUCAAACAGGAUUAGAUACCCUAGUAGUC
rnacentral:rRNA from 1 species